AGACCCCCGGAGCAGAGCCUGGCACAGCUCCCUGUCCCCUCGGGCAGCCUCCCUUCACAGCCCUCCAUCGGCCGCCCCCAGCACAGGCUCUCAGGAUGCUACUUUUGACAUAGAAUCAAUAAAUUCGAAGUCAAAACCUGGCCUUGUCCUCCUAAGUGCAGCAUGCCGAGGCUCUUUGGAGAGAGGAGAACUGAUGGAUACAGGGAUUUGAAGGACACAGAGGGAAAGUUAUAGCUGGGUUUCCCCUGGGUUUGUGAAUUAGUAUUUUGUUUUGAAAAUCUAGAUAUUUUCACCCUCCUGAGAGCUGCUGCUUUAGGAAAAGCCUUGUUUUCAUCCAAAUGUCUCUAAUAACAAGGCUACAGGUGAGAGGAGAUAUCUGGGUACAAGCAGGUCAACAGGAGCCCCUCUAAGAAGAGAGGAAUGUUUUGUGAACCCAGCCUUGACUUGAGAGGCAGGUCUGCAGGUGGAAGAACUUGUCUUUAUGCGAUAAUUUGUUUCAAAGUUUUCUUUGAAAAGUCUCAGUGAGCCUGUUGUGAGAGAGAGAGAUUGUUUUUACCCUGCAACAAAUUACUCUGGGACUUUCUGUGGUGUGUUUUGAGAUGGUUUUUAAUACAAAUCUUUCCACAGAACUUACACUUGUACUGGAUUGUAAAGACAACUGAAUAAAUUUAAUACAUUUCAUGACUCAUUUGCCAGCACUUCUGAGAUACCUGAAUCUACACGCUCCAUCCUUUGCUAUUAAGCAAAAAAUAGAGAGAUUGAGUAACCUACAAGGAAGAUUUAUUCAAGGUUUAAUCCAAGAAAGGGAUCCAAGACAAGGAAGUAAGCAGAGUACUGUUGUUUUAUAAUCCAGGAAGAAAAUAGGGAUCAAGAGCCCAGCCUUGUCAAUGAGUGAAAUUAGUCAAAAGAAGAUUCAAAAGUAGAAGGCCUGGAGUUGUAGAGAAUCACAUGUUCUGCACUGCACCACUGAAAAGUCAAGGCAGAAGCGGGAGAUCAGCUGGCAGCUCUGUUGGUUCAUGGAGCGAGUUAAAAGGCUCAGCAAACAAAACAUAAAAUUAUGUAAAAAUAGAGCCAGCUAGCUUGAGAUUGGACUUUGUCUCUUAAUUAACAGCUCUCUCUGAAUCACAGCACUGGGCUCUGUCAACAAGACUAAAAUGUAGGGGGUGUUCAGACAGGCACCCAGCAACAGUAGCUCACACCUCCCAUCCAGCCCAUGUCAUUGGCAGCUUGAAAUCGAAUGCAUUUUCUGAAAUGAGUUACAAGCCUGCUGCUUGACCUCAGAUCUUCCCGUGACAGUGUUUGUGGUUUCAUAAUCCCAUUUCCCUGGUGGUUUUUAAAAUGUUUUUCUUGCCCUUUUUCACUGGGUGAAAACGCAGGGUGGACAGGGAGAAGGAGGCGAGGUGGCCACACUGAUACUGCGGGGAGGUUUGUGUAACACCAACAGAAGCUCCUGCUCUCACCCACGGAGGAUCCAGCUCCAGGCAGCCUGGCCCUGCUCCUCAGGUGUGUGCACAAGGGCAAUCCCUGGCCAGGGCCACCUGGAGACACCGUGUGGGUGUAGCCACUGCAGGGGAGCUGCAUUUUCCUGUAAAUCCUGGGCUGGGUCUGUGUAGGAAGGGGCUUGUUUAUGUAGCACCUGCUGGAGCUCCACUCCCAGUGUACACGAGGUCUAAAUGAUGUGCCUCACCUGGAACUGAAAUUUCUAUUUCUGUAACAACAUUGUUGAAGGGAAGUAGUUGCUCCAUGCAUCCAUUUGUGCUCCAUUUCAAAAUGUUUGUUUGGUCUUUGUGUUUUGUUUUGUUAUUCACGAGAAGUAAACAUUGCACCUCUCACAUCGGUUUCAAAGACAGGACUGCUGGGGCAGGAGAUGGUGAGGGGAUUGAGAGGGAUGGGAGAAGGAAGGAAAUAAAAAAGA